rnacentral:sRNA from 1 species
UGACUCGAUGUCACUGCUCAAGAGGGG